UCCUGGGAUUAAAGGCGUGAGCCACCAUGCCUGGCCACCUUUUGCUUUAAAACCUCAGCUUUCUCAUUUCAAGGUAGUCUGCCUUGUUCCUCAAAGCCUUUCACAUCUGAAAUGCCCACAUUACUUGAAUCAAACCACAAAGGUGAACAACACAUGGUCCUUAUUAUCUAGGACAGGAAACAUUGUCCCAUGGAGAAAAUAAUGUAUACAACUUAUCAAACAAAAAUAACCAAAAGAGUCAGAAUAUAUUUUUAUUGUUUUUAUUUAAGCCCUUCUUGCACACUGAAGAAUAUAAAGAAUUUAUUCAAGCACAAAACAUAAGGAUGGACCACCUGGAAACACCAAAUCCAAAGUAAUAGAGAUAUAAUUCUGAAAUAGGGAAGUUCAGAUUUCAUUUAUAUAGGCAGAGUUAGAGGAGCUUAUAGCAAGGCUCUGCACAACUUCGGGAGAAUAGCUGAAGGCAGCUGUUAACCUUGAGGCAGAGAGUGAGGAGUAUGUGCAAGGGAGCAAGGGGAAAUUAUCUUGAUCAGGCUUGUUUGUUUGAAGUUAUCCUGAAAUUCACCUUUGAACAUCCAUGUGUGUGACAUUCCCUGAAAGGGGAACAAUAAAUGUUAAUUACCUACAGACUGUGUUUGCCCCAGGCUUUCAGCAUUCUGCCUGCACUGAAUAAAAGCAAGCAGCUCCAGCUUCUUGGGGCUGCACUUUGGCCACUUGAGCCAGGUGUCUCCUAGCUGCUCUUACACACUGCAUACCUGUGUGUGAGUACUCUUUCCAUCCGUCAGUCAGCCAGUCAGUCAGUCAGGGUCUGCGGAACAGAUCUGGCAGGUGGUGCCCAGUGUGAGGAACACUGCAACGGAUCUGGACCAAACCCUCAAAAAUUAAUGUGAAGUGACUGCUCUGUAAGUAAUUGGUCCCCGCUGGGGAUUUCCAAGUUCAAGGGGAUUCUCAAGCUAGGGUUUCAUCAUGGGACAACAGUUGUCAGCUCAACAGCAACAGUAUGUAAAAGUAUUGAAACAGCUGCUUAAAGCUAGCAGAACCUUGGUUUCGGAGCCUCAAUUAAGGGAUGUAAUGCAAACUGUUGUAUUCCAUAGCCCAUGAUUCCCAGGAGAAGGCACACUAGACCUAGGGCUCUGGAAGCAAUUGGGAAGAAAUCUUAAACAACAUCAGGUACAAGGGCAACAGGUCCCAGUAACAUCUUUAAUGUUAUGUGCCUUGGUUAGGGCUGCUUUGGUCCUGCUCUACACAGAAGAGCCUAAAAAAGAAGGGGAGGAAGAACCAUCAUCUACCUUACUGCCUCCUCCUCCUCCUUCAGCCCCGCCAUUACCCGGGUAAAGAUACCAAAGAGGAGACGGAGGUGUUUCCUAAGUCUCCUCCCCCAAUAAAUUGGGAAGAAGACAAGAGAUAUACUACAGUUAUGGGACCCCGUCUUAGGCAAGCAGCAUUAGAAGGGGAGCUCCUGGCUUGUCCCGUGGUGCAAGAUCAACAGGCCAGUUGGGUACAGAAGCCUAUUACUUCCAACACUUUUAAGGAAAUAAGGAAAAGCAUUAGAGAAAAUGGACCUGCUAGCCCAUUCACAAGAGGAUAAUUGAGGCUAUAACAGAUAACUACCAUAUUGACUCCAUGGGACUGGUCAGUGCAAGCUAAAACAACUUUAGAGGCCAGUCAAUACCUCCUCCAGAGGGCAGAAUAUAAUGAAUUGUGCGAACAACAGGCUGACCAGAAUCAAUUGGCAGGACAGAACAUAGCUGCUGUGCUCCAGGGGAGGGGUCUCUAUAUUAAUAUAUAACAACAAUUAAAUUUUGUCCCUCAAGCCUAUGCGCAACUGUCUUUGUGCACUCACGGGCCUAGGACCAAAUUCCCAAAGGUGGAGUUCAACAGAGAUCUUUUAUAAAUGUUCCACAAGGGCCUCAGGAGCCAUUUGUUGAAUUUAUCAAUCGGUUAACCCAGGCACUUAAGAGACAAAUCAGUCAUGCCAAGGCCGCUGAUAUCUUAUUGUUGUAAUUGGCCUAUGAAAAUGCUAAUGUGGAUUGCCAGCAAGCAAUGCAAGCAGUCAGAGGGAAAGCAGCUACAGUAGGGAACUCAUAUGAGCAUGUCAGCUGGUGGGGACUGAAACACACAAAGCCAGAAUAUUGGCUAUGGCAUUAAAGCCUCAAAAAGAAAAAGGGAUAAAAAUCCAAAUUGUUUUCAAUGAGAAAAGCCAGGUCAUAUGAAACAGGAAUGCCCCAAUAGUAAAGACCAAAGUAACUCAGGAAAAGAACCCCCUUCUAUAUAAGAACAAGCCAUAGUGGAACGUGCCCACUCCACCCUUAAAAAUGUGCUUAAAAAACAAAAAGGGAGAAUACGAGUAAGGACCCUACAACACUACUAGCACAAGCCUUGUUUACCCUUAACUUCUUAAAUUUAGCCUUACUUACCCUUAGCUUCCUAAAUUUAAACAAUAAAUUUCAAUCAGCCAUAGAAAAGCACUUUGCAAAAACCUUUCAGAAUAUGAAACCUUUAGUUUUUAUAGAAAGAUCUACAUAGUAACCUAUGGUGCGGUCCAAAUGAUUUGUUAACGUGGGGAAAAGGAUAUGCUUGUGUUCACACUCCCUCAGGUCCUCUUUGGAUUUCUGUGCGACACAUCAAACCAUACCAUGGCGUGGCUGGAACCCAACCCGGUACCAAAAAUAAAGGAAAUGACCCUGCAGGACCCGCAGCCCCAGAACGAUGCGGCUUCCACGGACAACAGAGGCCCUGGACAUUAUGCUGAAGAAGACAACUCAGGAAGCUGAGCGAAUCCCGCUCCAGAUACAAACAUCAUUCACUCCAGAUAAUCUGUUCCUUGCUAUGCUCUUUGUUGUACAUUGCAACACUCAUAGGGUAUUGGUUUUUCUCUCACUCUGCCUGCAACUCGUACCUGCUACACUCUAUUAGGCCCAUCUUCUAGAUCCACCUUUCUUCUGCCCUGUUACUUGGGCAGACGCCCCCUUCCCAGUUUCUAACAACGUAACUGCUUUGGUAGGAGGGAUUAACAUACCCCUGGUGGGGUUCCUCAGUAACAGCCCUAUAGAACAAUGUGCAAAAACACCUCUCCUGGAUAGACCCCCACUCCUGGGGGUAACUCUUUGAUUGGAAAAGAAUAUUACAUGAUUAUAUUAUAUAAUAAUAUAAUAUUACAAUGAUUAUACUCAUGCUUGUCUUAUGUUAUCUACUGCUUCUAGGAUGCAAAGCUGCAACACAAGCUGGAACCGCUGCACUUGUCAAGCCUGUCAUCGUACACAUCUGUAUUCUUCAAUCAACAAAACUUGAUGCAAAAAACAAAAGGGGGAGAUAUAGGAGAUCAGUCAGAGUGGUAGGAGAAACUAUAAGGAAAGGAGCAGACCUUCUGAAAGGUCAGAAGGCUGCUCUUACACACUGCCUACCUGUGUAACAAAAUGGGGGCUUCUGCACAGCAACUUCAGAAGAUAAGCAGGUUUUCUGGAAAUGGAUUGAGAGCAAGAGAUGACAUCUAAAAUCAAAGACACUGCUGGGGCUCAGAAACUGAUAUCCCAAAAUAUGGCACUAUGACAUCCUAAACUGAAGAAGCUACAAGGUCUCUGACCUUCUCCCCACCCCUCCUGUCUCUCAAUUCUCUGUGUCUCCCAAAGCACAGGAUGAAGUUGUUUUCAGAAGUUCCUUAUCUGCCUAAAGUCCAAACCUGCCAAAGAAUACAAUUAUCUUUAGUCUCUAUCCUGAGUUUUCAUUAAAUGAACUAAUACCACAGGAAGAAACACAAGCCUGUCAACAAGCCUAGACAGAUUCUGUCACAACCCACUGCCUACUCUGCAGCCCUAACAGACAUUGUCCCAGGCUCUUGCAUGUUCUUCAAGGCCAUUGAAUUCCCCUAAAAGUCAUUUAUUAUACCCCUAAAAACACUUCUCAAGCUCCCAUUUCCCUAGGAAGUAGGAUAAACAUCUAUGCCCAAUUGCAAUAUUGGGUGAUCACUCUAUCCAACCCCCUCUGCAGUAUACACGUUAAUAAAUUCAUAUGCUUUUUCUCUUAUUAAUUCUGGGCAUUAAUUUAACCUUUUUCUUCUUUUGGGCCCACGUUGAAACCUCUUUUUUCAACUUCUCUUCCAAUUAGGUGUGGCCUUUUAGCUAAGUUCCUGCCAAUGGAACAUAAAUACAAGUAAAGAUUGACAUUUCCAGGCCUAGGACAUAACAACUUUCCACGAAGGAUUUUUCCAUCUUCUUUCCCUUUGCAGGGCAAAUGUGGAAGCCACAUUUAAGACCGCUAAGCCACAAAGACAGAGGGCAUUUGGGUUCCAGAACUACUGCUGGAAGAAAGAGGGAACUGUUGAUCUAGAAUACCCUUUUUGAACCUCAUAUCCACAGAAAAUAAACUUGUAUUUAUCUUAACUAGUAUGCUCUGCACCAAA